ACAGAAUCGAAAAAUAAAAGCUCACAUGCCUGGCGGUUGCAGCAUCAGAGCUCUGUGGAUCCUUAACAAUCUCGAAGGCGUCGUUUUCUCCAGGAGGUUUCCGGUGGUGGAGAAGCAGUGGCGGGCUGCUUGCAAGACCGAAAACGAGAGCUCAAACGAGGAUCCGGUUAAGUACACUGUUCCACCAUUUCUUCCAAAUGAUUCAGAGAUAGCUGCUGCAUUUGUGGGGAGGAAGAAAAGUGAGGGUUCAACACGUGGGUAUGGCAUAAGGGUGACUCAUUCAGAUAAAAGGUCGGACUCCUGGGUUGAUGACCCUAUUACGCGUCACAUUAUAAGCCUUCGCAUAGGUGCAGAGGAGGAAGGAGAGAGUUAUCUAUUAUGGCCUUUAGUUUUGCAUGUAAGGGGCCCUUAUUGCAUCCUUGCUUUGCCGUUGAUUGAGCCAAGGCAUUUAAAAGUAUAUUCAAGAUUAUGCAGAAGAUCUGAUUGUGGAAAUGCUGCUGGAGUGGAUGAAAGCAUAUCUUCUCUCCUGCUUGAUCUUCCUUCCAUCACAGGGUAUGGGCAUUCAUGGUGGCACUUGCUAUUGGUGAUAUAAUUAUUGGUGAUAUGGUGGAUCCAGAGGUGGUUGUAAGUGUGUCACCAUCUGUGGGAGGACUAUUGGAUUCCUUAACUGGAAGCAUAGGGAUAUCAGGUAUCUCUUCUAGGGCAAAACCUGUUGCAGCACCAGUUGCAUCUGCUACGCCAUCCAGCACUGCCGCAAUUGGAGCUGUUGCAUCAGAUGCUCCAAAAAUUGGAACAAGGCCUUUGGAUAAAGAUGCACUUCGAAAUUUCAUAAGUGGUGCAAUGCCCUUCGGUACUCCCCUGGACCUCAACUACUCCAACAUUUUCUCUGUCAAGGUUAACGGGUUUUCUUCAUCAGAUCUGCCCCCAUCAGACCUAAAACAACCAGCAUGGAAACCAUAUCUUUACAAAGGAAAGCAAAGAAUACUAUUCACUGUUCAUGAGAUUGUUCACGCUGCCAUGUAUGAUAGAGAUGACAUAUCAGACACCAUAUCCAUCGCAGGGCAAAUAAACUGUCGAGCAGAAUUGGAAGGCUUGCCUGAUGUAUCACUCCCUUUGACCGGGUUGAACAAGGCUCAUGUGGAAGUCUUAUCUUUCCAUCCUUGUGCUCAAGUUCCAGAACAAGGUGUGGAUAAGCAGGCCAUGAUGUUUUCACCGCCAUUAGGCAAUUUUGUUUUGGUGCGUUACCAGGCAAAUUGUGCCUUUGGUCCUCCUAUAAUGGGAUUUUACCAGUUGUCAAUGGUCUCUGAGGACGAAGGUGCAUUUCUAUUCAAGUUGCAAAUAAUGGAAGGUUAUAAGGCUCCUUUGACAAUGGAAUUCUGUAAUGUAACUAUGCCCUUUCCAAGAAGAAGAAUUGUGUCUUUUGAUGGGACUCCUUCCGUUGGAACUGUUUCAACAACAGAGCACUCAGUUGAAUGGAAAAUUAUUCCAAGUGGUAGGAGCCUCACUGGGAAAAGUAUUGAAGCAACUUUCCCUGGAACAGUUCGAUUUGCGCCAUGGCAAAUUCAAAGAGCGCCUUCCUCAAAGUCUGGUUCUGAUAACAGGAGUGACGGAGAUAGUGAUUUUGAGACUGAGAGCACAAACAAUAUGGUAAAUGUGGAGGAAUACUUAAUGGAGAAAAUGAGUAAGGAUCUUCCUCCAGUUGAUCUAGAGGAGCCAUUUUGCUGGCAAGCAUAUAACUAUGCCAAAGUAUCUUUCAAGAUAACUGGGGCUUCAUUAUCUGGAAUGUCCAUUGAUGCUAAAUCUGUGAGUUUCUCACUUUUCAUCAUCUCUCCUAAUGUACAACGGCAGGUGAUCUUGCAUAAUACGACAUGACACAUUUGCUGAUGCAAGAAUAAGAGUAACAUUUCUACAUAUUUUUUAGGCUUCAUGGUCUAAUAUAACACUAAACUUUGUGCACCUUUCAAAGUACAUCAUAUGUUUUCAUUUUUAUCAACUUGGGUCGUAAGUUACUGAUUUAGUUUCAAUUGUACCCAAUAAGUCUAGGGCAUCAGGCGUGUGCCCAUUGUUAAUCCAUGAAAAUUAUUGACUCCGGUAUGGACCUCUUACCUAAGCUUGAAGAGCCUCCAAAUCAUUGCAAAACAUGAAUUUCAAAAAGCAUUUUAUGCAUUCUGUGUGUGUUCAUCAAAGUAUACAUUUUUAAUUUUUAAGAUACAUUUAGCAACAAGUUACGAGUAGACUUAUGAAAUACUCUGCUUAUGAUUGCUUGCUGGUUUUCUUACAUUUCAUGCUGAACAUAGGUGAGCAUCUACCCAGCUGUUAAAGCACCUGUGGAGUUGUCAACUCAGGUAAUCUUGUCUUCAAAAUCCCAUCAUUUGAAAUCUUGAAGUUUUUAGACAAAUCUAUUAGCAAACAACUGAUUAACUUCAUCUGAAACUGGUUUACUAUCAUCUGUCAAUGUAACGUGUGAACAUAUGUGCACAAUGCAGAGGUUCAUCCCUGAGCUCAUUUUAAUUGUAUAGAACUUUUUCUUGUCACCACUGCUCAUGUUGUCUUCUGCUUUCUUCCUAUUUUAAGUUUUUCCAAAUUUUAAUUUUGACAUCACUGUCUUUAUGUUUACCGUAUGAAAAUUUUUGAUCUUAAACUCUCAAUCAAAGGAAAAAUAUGCUUAUCAUAUCUUGAGUUAAUUUGUUUAGAUUCCUCAUAUUCAUGAUUUCUCUCCCUUUGUUUAGUUCACAAUUAAGCACACUCGUUUCCAAUAUAAGCCUCAAUUUAUGUGUCCUUGUAAAACGAACUUAUGAAGCCUCCCCGUACUUGAACUAGAGUAUGUAUAUGUCCAUUGCUUGUAUAAUAUUCAUUCCAUUUGCUUGCUACAGGUUACUUCUGGGGAUUUUAUACUGUGGAAUACUUUGGGGAAGUGUCCAUCUGCAGCAACAGCUUAAGCACUUGGAUUUUAUUGCAAUGAAAUAAUGCAAGAAUCAUAUUAUCUCACAAAACAGAUGCUUGCUGUUACCCUGCGGACAUGCUUUGAAAUUCUAUACACGCCGGGUGCCUGGUAAUUACUUUGCCAUGGGCAGGCUUUUGACAGCGGCAUACUCCUUGAUGCUCAUCACAUAGUCUGUGGACCCUAUUUUAGAGCAGAGGAAUGGGAAAUGAGGGUAAUGUGAGAUUUUGGGUGGGCUGGCUAUAUAAAGAAAAUUUUGUGGAUGUUGUAAGUUUCCAAAAUGGUACAUUUUGUGUUUGAAUUGAGCCAUCACUUCUUUUCUACUGAAUUUACUGGGAGAAUGGGGCACAGCCUAGCUCAAGUAGCCAAUUGCUUCCAUCUUUGAUUCUCCUCAUGUUUGUCUGUAUUCUGUAAUAUAAUGAUUGGUUGGUAAUUUGUAAUUGCUUUUUAUCAUUAUCUUAUUAUUAUUAUUAAACUGUUCAUUAAUUUAAGUCUCUGCCAGAUUAUGAG
rnacentral:misc_RNA from 1 species